UGGACUAUAGAGUAAUUGGCAACUCGCCUCAUUUUGGUUGAGGAAAUUAACUGUUCGAGUCAGUUUAGUUCAG
rnacentral:tRNA from 1 species